rnacentral:rRNA from 1 species
UACGAGGGGGGCAAGCGUUGUUCGGAAUUAUUGGGCGUAAAGGGCGCGUAGGCGGUGCGGUAAGUCUGAUGUGAAAUCUCCGGGCUCAACUCGGAGUCUGCAUCAGAAACUGCCGUGCUCGAGUGUGGGAGAGGUGAGUGGAAUUCCUGGUGUAGCGGUGAAAUGCGCAGAUAUCAGGAGGAACACCGGUGGCGAAGGCGGGUCUCGG